rnacentral:rRNA from 1 species
GGUUACUGCUAUCGGUGUUCGCCUAAGCCAUGCGAGUCAUAUGUAGCAAUACAUGGCGUACUGCUCAGUAACACGUGGAUAACCUGCCCUUGGGUCCGGCAUAACCCCGGGAAACUGGGGAUAAUUCCGGAUAACGCAUAUAUGCUGGAAUGCUUUCUGCGUAAAAUGGAUUCGUCUGCCCAAGGAUGGGUCUGCGGCCUAUCAGGUAGUAGUGGGUGUGAUGUACCUACUAGCCUACGACGGGUACGGGUUGGGAGAGCAAGAGCCCGGAGAUGGAUUCUGAGACAUGAAUCCAGGCCCUACGGGGCGCAGCAGGCGCGAAAACUUUACAAUGCGGGAAACCGUGAUAAGGGGACACCGAGUGCCAGCAUCCUAUGCUGGCUGUCCGGGUGUGUAAAAUACACCUGUCAGCAAGGGCCGGGCAAGACCGGUGCCAGCCGCCGCGGUAACACCGGCGGCCCGAGUGGUGAUCGUGAUUAUUGGGUCUAAAGGGUCCGUAGCCGGUUUGGUCAGUCCUCCGGGAAAUCUGACAGCUCAACUGUUAGGCUUUCGGAGGAUACUGCCAGACUUGGAACCGGGAGAGGUAAGAGGUACUACAGGGGUAGGAGUGAAAUCUUGUAAUCCCUGUGGGACCACCUGUGGCGAAGGCGUCUUACCAGAACGGGUUCGACGGUGAGGGACGAAAGCUGGGGGCACGAACCGGAUUAGAUACCCGGGUAGUCCCAGCCGUAAACGAUGCUCGCUAGGUGUCAGGCAUGGCGCGACCGUGUCUGGUGCCGCAGGGAAGCCGUGAAGCGAGCCACCUGGGAAGUACGGCCGCAAGGCUGAAACUUAA